GACAGAGGGUGCAAACGUUGUUCGGAAUUACUGGGCGUAAAGCGUGUGUAGGCGGCCUUGCAAGUCGGAUGUGAAAGCCCCGGGCUCAACCCGGGAAGUGCACUCGAUACUGCAGGGCUCGAGUGUCGGAGAGGUUGGUGGAAUUCUCGGUGUAGAGGUGAAACUCGUAGAUAUCGGGAGGAACACCAGUGGCGAAGGCGACUUCCUGGCCUGUUCUUGACGCUGAGGCGCGAAAGCUGGGGGAGCAAACGGG
rnacentral:rRNA from 1 species